rnacentral:snRNA from 1 species
GUGCUCGCUUCGGCAGCACAUAUACUAAAAUUGGAACGAUACAGAGAUUAGCAUGGCCCCUGCACAAGGAUGACAUGCAAAUUCGUGAAGCGUUCCAUAUUUUU